rnacentral:tRNA from 1 species
CAUUAGAUGGCUGAAAAGUAAGCAAUGGAAUUUUAAACCAUCCUAUAUUAAAUUAACAAUUAAUUCUAAUGA